rnacentral:rRNA from 1 species
GAUGAACGCUGGCGGCGUGCCUAAUACAUGCAAGUCGAGCGAACAGACGAGGAGCUUGCUCCUCUGACGUUAGCGGCGGACGGGUGAGUAACACGUGGAUAACCUACCUAUAAGACUGGGAUAACUUCGGGAAACCGGAGCUAAUACCGGAUAAUAUAUUGAACCGCAUGGUUCAAUAGUGAAAGACGGUUUUGCUGUCACUUAUAGAUGGAUCCGCGCCGCAUUAGCUAGUUGGUAAGGUAACGGCUUACCAAGGCAACGAUGCGUAGCCGACCUGAGAGGAUGAUCGGCCACACUGGAACUCAGACACGGUCCAGACUCCUACGGGAGGCAGCAGUAGGGAAUCUUCCGCAAUGGGCGAAAGCCUGACGGAGCAACGCCGCGUGAGUGAUGAAGGUCUUCGGAUCGUAAAGCUCUGUUAGUAGGGAAGAACAAAUGUGAAAGUAACUAUGCACGUCUUGACGGUACCUAAUCAGAAAGCCACGGCUAACUACGUG